rnacentral:rRNA from 1 species
UACGUAGGCAGCGAGCGUUGUUCGGAAUUACUGGGCGUAAAGAGUGUGUAGGCGGUGUUCUAAGUUUGUCGUGAAAUCUCCCGGCUUAACUGGGAGGGUGCGGCGAAAACUGGAAUGCUAGAGGAUGGGAGAGGUAAGCGGAAUUCCUGGUGUAGCGGUGAAAUGCGUAGAUAUCAGGAGGAACACCUGGGGUGUAGACAGCUUACUGGACCAUUUCUGACGCUGAGACACGAAAGCGUGGGUAGCAAACAGG